AGGCUCAGGAUGAACGCUAGCGGCAGGCCUAAUACAUGCAAGUCGAACGGGUGGUAGCAAUACCACUAGUGGCGCACGGGUGCGUAACGCGUAACCAACCUGCCCUUGACUGGGGGAUAGCCCGCCGAAAGGCGGAUUAAUACCGCAUAAACCAACAGCCUGGCAUCAGGCAAUUGGUAAAGAUUUAUUGGUCAAGGAUGGGGUUGCGUGACAUUAGCUAGUUGGCGGGGUAACGGCCCACCAAGGCGACGAUGUCUAGGGGACCUGAGAGGGUGAUCCCCCACACUGGCACUGAGAUACGGGCCAGACUCCUACGGGAGGCAGCAGUAGGGAAUAUUGGGCAAUGGGCGAGAGCCUGACCCAGCCAUGCCGCGUGCCGGAUGAAGGCCUUCUGGGUUGUAAACGGCUUUUCUCAGGGAAGAAAAAGACCAUGCGUGGUACACUGACGGUACCUGAGGAAUAAGCACCGGCUAACUCCGUGCCAGCAGCCGCGGUAAUACGGAGGGUGCAAGCGUUGUCCGGAUUUAUUGGGUUUAAAGGGUGCGUAGGUGGCCCUGUAAGUCCGUGGUGAAAGCCUCUCGCUUAACGAGAGAACUGCCAUGGAUACUGCAGGGCUUGAGUCCAGACGAGGUUGGCGGAAUGGAUGGUGUAGCGGUGAAAUGCAUAGAUACCAUCCAGAACCCCGAUUGCGUAGGCAGCUGACUAGGCUGGUACUGACACUGAGGCACGAAAGCGUGGGGAGCGAACAGGAUUAGAUACCCUGGUAGUCCACGCCGUAAACGAUGGAUACUCGUUGCUAGCGAUAUACAGUUAGUGACUUAGCGAAAGCGUUAAGUAUCCCACCUGGGGAGUACGCCCGCAAGGGUGAAACUCAAAGGAAUUGACGGGGGCCCGCACAAGUGGUGGAGCAUGUGGUUUAAUUCGAUGAUACGCGAGGAACCUUACCUAGGCUAGAAUGCGCGUGACCGAUUCAGAGAUGAAUCUUUCCUUCGGGACACAAAGCAAGGUGCUGCAUGGCCGUCGUCAGCUCGUGCCGUGAGGUGUUGGGUUAAGUCCCGCAACGAGCGCAACCCCUACAUUUAGUUGCCAGCGGAUUAUGCCGGGGACUCUAGAUGGACUGCCUGCGCAAGCAGUGAGGAAGGCGGGGACGACGUCAGGUCAUCAUGGCCCUUACGCCUAGGGCUACACACGUGCUACAAUGGACGGUACAGAGGGUCGCUACACAGUGAUGUGACGCCAAUCUCAAAAAACCGUUCUCAGUUCGGAUCGAAGUCUGCAACUCGACUUCGUGAAGCUGGAAUCACUAGUAAUCGCGUAUCAGCAAUGACGCGGUGAAUACGUUCCCGGGCCUUGUACACACCGCCCGUCAAGCCAUGGAAGUCUGGUAGACCUGAAGCUGGUGCUCGUUAAAGAAGCCAGUUAGGGUAGAACAGGUAACUGGGGCUAAGUCGUAACAAG
rnacentral:rRNA from 1 species